UACGUAGGUCCCGAGCGUUGUCCGGAUUUAUUGGGCGUAAAGCGAGCGCAGGUGGUUUAUUAAGUCUGGUGUAAAAGGCAGUGGCUCAACCAUUGUAUGCAUUGGAAACUGGUAGACUUGAGUGCAGGAGAGGAGAGUGGAAUUCCAUGUGUAGCAGUGAAAUGCGUAGAUAUUCGGAGGAACACCAGUGGCGAAGGCGGCUUGCUGGGCUCUAACUGACGCUGAGGCUCGAAAGUGUGGGGAGCAAACAGG
rnacentral:rRNA from 1 species